rnacentral:lncRNA from 1 species
AAGUCAGUGUUGUAAUGGUGAAUUGGGAUUUUUUUAAUGAAGUGGGUUUGAUUACUCUUGACUCUUUUGUGAAAUCGAGUUACGUCUGUGAUUGAAGAAUUAAAAGGGUGUCUAUAGGAUUGAGUAUGCGGAGUGAAUGAAAUUUAUUGGGUUAAUUUAACAAGACAAUCAGUGGAUACAAGAUCGUAAGUACAAAGCGGUAUCGGAGAUUAGCAGAUUGGGUUGUUUGGGGUUCUCUGUAACGUCUAGAGACCUACCG